CGGUGCUGCAUGGGCGGAGCCUGAUGCAGCAACGCCGCGUGAGGGAUGACGGCCUUCGGGUUGUAAACCUCUUUUAGCAAGGAAGAAGCGAAAGUGACGGUACUUGCAGAAAAAGCGCCGGCUAACUACGUGCCAGCAGCCGCGGUAAUACGUAGGGCGCAAGCGUUAUCCGGAAUUAUUGGGCGUAAAGAGCUCGUAGGCGGUUUGUCGCGUCUGCUGUGAAAACCCGAGGCUCAACCUCGGGCCUGCAGUGGGUACGGGCAGACUAGAGUGCGGUAGGGGAGAUUGGAAUUCCUGGUGUAGCGGUGGAAUGCGCAGAUAUCAGGAGGAACACCGAUGGCGAAGGCAGAUCUCUGGGCCGUAACUGACGCUGAGGAGCGAAAGGGUGGGGAGCAAACAGGCUUAGAUACCCUGGUAGUCCACCCCGUAAACGUUGGGAACUAGUUGUGGGGUCCAUUCCACGGAUUCCGUGACGCAGCUAACGCAUUAAGUUCCCCGCCUGGGGAGUACGGCCGCAAGGCUAAAACUCAAAGGAAUUGACGGGGACCCGCACAAGCGGCGGAGCAUGCGGAUUAAUUCGAUGCAACGCGAAGAACCUUACCAAGGCUUGACAUACACGAGAACGCCGUAGAAAUACGGAACUCUUUGGACACUCGUGAACAGGUGGUGCAUGGUUGUCGUCAGCUCGUGUCGUGAGAUGUUGGGUUAAGUCCCGCAACGAGCGCAACCCUCGUUCUAUGUUGCCAGCACGUAAUGGUGGGAACUCAUGGGAUACUGCCGGGGUCAACUCGGAGGAAGGUGGGGAUGACGUCAAAUCAUCAUGCCCCUUAUGUCUUGGGCUUCACGCAUGCUACAAUGGCCGGUACAAAGGGCUGCAAUACCGUGAGGUGGAGCGAAUCCCAAAAAGCCGGUCCCAGUUCGGAUUGAGGUCUGCAACUCGACCUCAUGAAGUCGGAGUCGCUAGUAAUCGCAGAUCAGCAACGCUGCGGUGAAUACGUUCCCGGGUCUUGUACACACCGCCCGUCAAGUCAUGAAGUCGGUACACCUGAGCCGGUGGCCCAACCCUUGUGAGGGAGCCGUCGAUGUGGGAUCGGUAAUUAGACUAAGUCGUACCAAAAGGAUAUAAACA
rnacentral:rRNA from 1 species